rnacentral:rRNA from 1 species
UACGUAGGGGGCAAGCGUUGUCCGGAAUCAUUGGGCGUAAAGAGCGUGUAGGCGGUCCGGUAAGUCGGCUGUGAAAGUCCAGGGCUCAACCCUGGGAUGCCGGUGGAUACUGUCGAGCUCGAGUCCGGAAGAGGCGAGUGGAAUUCCUGGUGUAGCGGUGAAAUGCGCAGAUAUCAGGAGGAACACCAAUGGCGAAGGCAGCUCGCUGGGACGUGACUGACGCUGAGACGCGAAAGCGUGGGGAGCGAACAGG